AUUAGUAGUAACAACGUCAUGUAGGUC
rnacentral:sRNA from 1 species